rnacentral:rRNA from 1 species
GCGUAAGCGUGCGCAGGCGGUUUUGUAAGACAGGCGUGAAAUCCCCGGGCUCAACCUGGGAACUGCGCUUGUGACUGCAAGGCUAGAGUACGGCAGAGGGGGGUGGAAUUCCACGUGUAGCAGUGAAAUGCGUAGAGAUGUGGAGGAACACCAAUGGCGAAGGCAGCCCCCUGGGUCGAUACUGACGCUCAUGCACGAAAGCGUGGGUAGCAAACAGGAUUAGAUACCCUGGUAGUCCACGCCCUAAACGAUGUCAACUAGGUGUUGGGUGGGUAAAACCAUUUAGUACCGGAGCUAACGCGUGAAGUUGACCGCCUGGGGAGUACGGCCGCAAGGUUAAAACUCAAAGGAAUUGACGGGGACCCGCACAAGCGGUGGAUGAUGUGGAUUAAUUCGAUGCAACGCGAAAAACCUUACCUACCCUUGACAUGUCCAGAACCCCUGAGAGAUUGGGGGGUGCCCGAAAGGGAGCUGGAACACAGGUGCUGCAUGGCUGUCGUCAGCUCGUGUCGUGAGAUGUUGGGUUAAGUCCCGCAACGAGCGCAACCCUUGUCGUUAAUUGCCAUCAUUUAGUUGGGCACUUUAACGAGACUGCCGGUGACAAACCGGAGGAAGGUGGGGAUGACGUCAAGUCCUCAUGGCCCUUAUGGGUAGGGCUUCACACGUCAUACAAUGGUCGGUACAGAGGGUUGCCAAGCCGCGAGGUGGAGCCAAUCCCAGAAAGCCGAUCGUAGUCCGGAUUGCAGGCUGCAACUCGCCUGCAUGAAGUCGGAAUCGCUAGUAAUCGCGGAUCAGCAUGUCGCGGUGAAUACGUUCCCGGGUCUUGUACACACCGCCCGUCACACCAUGGGAGCGG